rnacentral:rRNA from 1 species
UACGAAGGGGGCUAGCGUUGCUCGGAAUCACUGGGCGUAAAGGGUGCGUAGGCGGGUUUUUAAGUCAGGGGUGAAAUCCUGGAGCUCAACUCCAGAACUGCCUUUGAUACUGAGGAUCUUGAGUUCGGGAGAGGUGAGUGGAACUGCGGAGUGUAGAGGUGAAAUUCGUAGAUAUUCGCAAGAACACCAGUGGCGAAGGCGGCUCACUGGCCCGAUACUGACGCUGAGGCACGAAGCGUGGGAG